AUUGAACGCUGGCGGCAGGCUUAACACAUGCAAGUCGAGCGGGGUGAUGGUGCUUGCACUAUCACUUAGCGGCGGACGGGUGAGUAAUGCUUAGGAAUCUGCCUAUUAGUGGGGGACAACAUCUCGAAAGGGAUGCUUAUACCGCAUACGUCCUACGGGAGAAAGCAGGGGAUCACUUGUGACCUUGCGCUAAUAGAUGAGCCUAAGUCGGAUUAGCUAGUCGGUGGGGUAAAGGCCUACCAAGGCGACGAUCUGUAGCGGGUCUGAGAGGAUGAUCCGCCACAGUGGGACUGAGACACGGCCCAGACUCCUACGGGAGGCAGCAGUGGGGAAUAUUGGACAAUGGGGGGAACCCUGAUCCAGCCAUGCCGCGUGUGUGAAGAAGGCCUUAUGGUUGUAAAGCACUUUAAGCGAGGAGGAGGCUCUUUUGGUUAAUACCCAAGAUGAGUGGACGUUACUCGCAGAAUAAGCACCGGCUAACUCUGUGCCAGCCGCCGCGGUAA
rnacentral:rRNA from 1 species